AACUGUCUUUAUGAGAUGAGCUAUUCCCGGACAACUCACAGGUAUUACGUAAAAACACUAGACGGCCGAUUAAGAACUGGAUAAAGAUGUUUUGAUAACGGCUAUUGUUUGCUUAUUCUUAAUAAGAUUCUUAAAUAGAUUCCGGAAAUGUUCGAAAACGAAAUCGGGCCGACUAUAGGUAACAUAAAAAUAUUAACGUAUUUGUUGUUUGUGCAGGUGUGUGUCCAAACGUUUUGUUAACGCGUACCCGGAGACGUUUCGUUUGUCCUUAUUGCUGCGUCCUCGCGGACGCGGCGUUGUUCUUAAUUUUCGCAUCCCCGCACAGAAACACCGGGAACAAUUGUUUUCGGUUACAACCGAC